UUUAUAUGAGAGUUUGAUCCUGGCUCAGGAUGAACGCCGGCGGUGUGCCUAAUACAUGCAAGUCGAACGCGUUGGCCCAAUUGAUUGAUGGUGCUUGCACCUGAUUGAUUUUGGUCGCCAACGAGUGGCGGACGGGUGAGUAACACGUAGGUAACCUGCCCAGAAGCGGGGGACAACAUUUGGAAACAGAUGCUAAUACCGCAUAAUAACGUUGUUCGCAUGAACAACGCUUAAAAGAUGGCUUCUCGCUAUCACUUCUGGAUGGACCUGCGGUGCAUUAGCUUGUUGGUGGGGUAACGGCCUACCAAGGCGAUGAUGCAUAGCCGAGUUGAGAGACUGAUCGGCCACAAUGGGACUGAGACACGGCCCAUACUCCUACGGGAGGCAGCAGUAGGGAAUCUUCCACAAUGGGCGCAAGCCUGAUGGAGCAACACCGCGUGAGUGAAGAAGGGUUUCGGCUCGUAAAGCUCUGUUGUUAAAGAAGAACACGUAUGAGAGUAACUGUUCAUACGUUGACGGUAUUUAACCAGAAAGUCACGGCUAACUACGUGCCAGCAGCCGCGGUAAUACGUAGGUGGCAAGCGUUAUCCGGAUUUAUUGGGCGUAAAGAGAGUGCAGGCGGUUUUCUAAGUCUGAUGUGAAAGCCUUCGGCUUAACCGGAGAAGUGCAUCGGAAACUGGAUAACUUGAGUGCAGAAGAGGGUAGUGGAACUCCAUGUGUAGCGGUGGAAUGCGUAGAUAUAUGGAAGAACACCAGUGGCGAAGGCGGCUACCUGGUCUGCAACUGACGCUGAGACUCGAAAGCAUGGGUAGCGAACAGGAUUAGAUACCCUGGUAGUCCAUGCCGUAAACGAUGAGUGCUAGGUGUUGGAGGGUUUCCGCCCUUCAGUGCCGGAGCUAACGCAUUAAGCACUCCGCCUGGGGAGUACGACCGCAAGGUUGAAACUCAAAGGAAUUGACGGGGGCCCGCACAAGCGGUGGAGCAUGUGGUUUAAUUCGAAGCUACGCGAAGAACCUUACCAGGUCUUGACAUCUUGCGCCAACCCUAGAGAUAGGGCGUUUCCUUCGGGAACGCAAUGACAGGUGGUGCAUGGUCGUCGUCAGCUCGUGUCGUGAGAUGUUGGGUUAAGUCCCGCAACGAGCGCAACCCUUGUUACUAGUUGCCAGCAUUAAGUUGGGCACUCUAGUGAGACUGCCGGUGACAAACCGGAGGAAGGUGGGGACGACGUCAGAUCAUCAUGCCCCUUAUGACCUGGGCUACACACGUGCUACAAUGGACGGUACAACGAGUCGCGAACUCGCGAGGGCAAGCAAAUCUCUUAAAACCGUUCUCAGUUCGGACUGCAGGCUGCAACUCGCCUGCACGAAGUCGGAAUCGCUAGUAAUCGCGGAUCAGCAUGCCGCGGUGAAUACGUUCCCGGGCCUUGUACACACCGCCCGUCACACCAUGAGAGUUUGUAACACCCAAAGUCGGUGGGGUAACCUUUUAGGAGCCAGCCGCCUAAGGUGGGACAGAUGAUUAGGGUGAAGUCGUAACAAGGUAGCCGUAGGAGAACCUGCGGCUGGAUCACCUCCUUUCUA
rnacentral:rRNA from 2 species